CUGCAGAGCGUAAAUGUUCAGCCCUGCUCAAGGUGGUUAAACAUUCCGAGGAGAAGAUCCAGCGGGAAUGUGAGAGGCGGCUGGAGGAGUAUCAGGAGUCGGAUGAGCUGAAAGGAAAGAUUGAGCAGGCCUGUGAAGCUCACCUCCAAGACUAUAAGGAUUCUUCUGAAUUGAAGGCGGUUAUAGCUGAGGCCUGCGAGGUGCAUCUGGACGAGUAUAAAGCCUUCGAGGA
rnacentral:lncRNA from 1 species